CCCCGUAGCUCAGUCGGUAGAGCAUGGUGUUUGCAACGCCAGGGUUGUGGGUUCGAUUCCCACGGGGG
rfam:Salmo salar isolate Sally breed double haploid chromosome ssa03, whole genome shotgun sequence.